AAACUUUCAACAACGGAUCUCUUGGUUCCGACAUCGAUGAAGAACGCAGCGAAAUGCGAUAAGUAAUGUGAAUUGCAGAAUUCCGUUAAUCAUCGAAUCUUUGAACGCACAUUGCGCCCCCUGGUAUUCCGGGGGGCAUGCCUGUCCGAGCGUCAUUG
rnacentral:rRNA from 1 species